rnacentral:rRNA from 1 species
UGGGGAAUAUUGCACAAUGGGCGAAAGCCUGAUGCAGCAACGCCGCGUGAGUGAUGAAGGUCUUCGGAUUGUAAAGCUCUGUCUUUUGGGACGAUAAUGACGGUACCAAAGGAGGAAGCCACGGCUAACUACGUGCCAGCAGCCGCGGUAAUACGUAGGUGGCGAGCGUUGUCCGGAUUUACUGGGCGUAAAGGGUGCGUAGGCGGAUGUUUAAGUGAGGUGUGAAAUACCCGGGCUUAACUUGGGUGCUGCAUUUCAAACUGGAUAUCUAGAGUGCAGGAGAGGAGAAUGGAAUUCCUAGUGUAGCGGUGAAAUGCGUAGAGAUUAGGAAGAACACCAGUGGCGAAGGCGAUUCUCUGGACUGUAACUGACGCCGAGGCACGAAAGCGUGGGUAGCAAACAGGAUUAGAUACCCUGGUAGUCCACGCCGUAAACGAUGAGUACUAGGUGUAGGAGGUAUCGACCCCUUCUGUGCCGCAGUAAACACAUUAAGUACUCCGCCUGGGAAGUACGAUCGCAAGAUUAAAACUCUAAAGUGAAUUGACGGGGGUCAUA